rnacentral:rRNA from 1 species
AAUGAACGCUAGAGUUCUGCUUGACACAUGCGAGUCGAACGUUGAUAAAUUAAAUUUAUCAAAGUGGCGUACGGGUGAAUAAUGCAUUUGUAACUUACCCAAUAAUUCGGAAUAUGCUGUGGAAACACGUGAGAAAUACCGAAUAAUAUUAGUUUAGUAAAACUAAUAAAAAGAUAAGUCGUUAUUGGAUAGGCAAGUGUUGCAUCAAGUUGUUGGUGAGGUAAUGGCUCACCAAGCUAAUGACGCAUAGCUGGUUUGGGAGAACGGCCAGCCACAUCGGAACUGAAACAAGGUCCGAGCUCCUACGGGGGGCAGCAGUGAGGAAUCUUGGGCAAUGAGCGAAAGCUUGACCCAGCGAGAAUUUGUGUGUGAGGAAGGCGUUGAGUUGUAAAGCACUUUCAGGCAGGAAGAUAAUGACUGUACUGCAGCAGAAGAAGUACUGGCUAAGUCUGUGCCAGCAGCCGCAGUAAGAC